ACGCAGUAGUGGAAUUAAUGAAUAUCUAUUUUUAAGUUUUUGAGGAACCAUAACACUUUUUUGACAAUAGCAUUAUAUUCAGGCCUUAUAAAAUGAAUGGGACAACAUUACUAUACCAGACUUAUAAAAUUAAUAACUCAAUACCAGAUGAUGGGGGAAGGCUUUAUUCAAACAAUUUUAUAUUACUAUUAAUAAUAUCGAUAUAAAAUAGAAACCACGUUUUUUACAUGACAUGACUUAAGGAACUACCAAGGUAAUGUUGCAUCUUUUCCCCAAAAGCUCUUUUCCUAAAUAUUUACCUCUGUGACCUUUAUGUUUAUUUCUAGGUAAAAACUGUGUUUCGAUGGUGAAAAUAGCUUUCAAGUCCAUGAAUAAGGACACAUGUGUACUUUUAUGUAUACCUUUCCAUUUAUCAGAAAUAUAAGAGGGACAGAGAACUUGAGAGAGAAAAUCUUCAGGUGAAGCAAGCAAGCUGAAACUGAGGAAAUUCUUCCUGAAAGAAUGAUUUAUUUCUUCCAAAGAAAUUUGGUUUAUCAAACUCAAUCAACAAAUGAGUGAACCCAUGGUGUGGUUAUUUACAGCAAAAUUUAAAACCCAACAGAUUUCUCUUUCCCAUCUAGCAUGCUUCUGUCUAACCUCUCAUCAUUAGUUGGUAUGUACAAAAGACACAAUUCACUUUAUUUAUAAUUGAAAUCCAGUCAGAAAUAAUAGGUGAACCUUCACUUCUCACAUUUGGACUUCUCUCUCUCUCCCUCCCGACAGGAAGGGAGACUUACCUAACAGGUGAAUUUGGGAGAAGGAGCUAGGCAGUGCUUAUGUGUUUCUGAGUCUCCUCUUUGAAAAGAUGUGCCUGCCCACAGUAACAUGAAUUUGGGUCUGCUCUCAGCUCUGUGAAAGAGAAGAGCAGUGUUACUUGUCGCCUACCCAGUGUCACCUGUCACAGCUCCACCAAGAAAAAUGACUAGACAACACUUACAGAAACAUUCUCUUCUUCCUUGACUUCAUAACUAAUGUACAUUGUUCAAAAGCAACGCCCACUCAAAAGAGAGAAAAAGUUGAAAGAAACCAUUUUAGAAACAAACAUAGAAAGUCAGACAAACUGAGGACACAGAGGAAUACCUUCCAAAUGAAAGAACAUGACAAAACCUAAGGAAAAAAAAAACUAACAAAACUAAGAAAAAAAACUAAGAAAAAAAAACAGAGAGAAGUGAUGAGUUCAAGGUAAAGGUCAUAAAGAUGCUCAGUGAACUUGGGAGGGGAAUGAAUGGAUCCAGUGAUAACAUCUACAAAGAGAUAGAAGAUAUAAAAAAGAACCAAUCAGAGCUGAAGGAUACAAUAACAGAAAUGACAAAUACACUAGGGGGAAUCAACAGCAGAUAAGAAGAUGCAGAAGAACAGAUCAACAAUUUGCAAGACAGGGUAGUAGAAAUCAUCCAAGCUGACAAAGAAAAAAGAAAAAAGAAAAAAGAACUUUAAAAAUGAGACUAGGUUAAGGGACCUGUGGGACAACAUCCAGUGUAAUAAUACUUGCAUUCAAGGGGUUCCAGAAAAAGAAAAGAGAAACGGGCAAAGAACUCAUUUGAAGAAAUAAAAGCUUCAUUUUAAAAAUUCACAUAUUUGCUUGAUUUAGCUAUUUAUAAAAUGCUCUACAAUCGCUCAGCAAGAUAU